rnacentral:rRNA from 1 species
UCCCCUAGUAACGGCGAGUGAAGCGGGAAGAGCUCAAAUUUGAAAUCUGGCGGUCUCAGGCCGUCCGAGUUGUAAUCUAGAGAGGUGUUUUCCGUGCCGGACCGUGUACAAGUCCCUUGGAACAGGGCGUCAUAGAGGGUGAGAAUCCCGUCCAUGACACGGACUACCGGUGCUCUGUGAUACACCUUCAAAGAGUCGAGUUGUUUGGGAAUGCAGCUCAAAAUGGGUGGUAAAUUCCAUCUAAAGCUAAAUACAGGCGAGAGACCGAUAGCGAACAAGUACCGUGAGGGAAAGAUGAAAAGAACUUUGGAAAGAGAGUUAAACAGUACGUGAAAUUGUUGAAAGGGAAACGCUUGAAGUCAGUCGCGUCUGCCAGGACUCAGCCUUGCUUUUGCUUGGUGCACUUCUUGGUGGAUGGGCCAGCAUCGAUUUUGGCCGCYGGAAAAGGGCGGGAGGAAUGUGGCAGCUUUUGCUGUGUUAUAGCCUUCNGUCGUACACGGUGGUUGGGAUCGAGGACUGCAGCACGCCUUUGGUCGGGGUUCGCCCACGCCACGUGCUUAGGAUGCUGGCGUAAUGGCUUUAAACGACCCGUCUUGAAACACGGACCAAGGAGUCUAACAUGCCUGCGAGUGUUUGGGUGCAAAACCCAGGCGCGUAAUGAAAGUGAAAAGUUGGGACUCUUUAGUGAGGCACCGACGCCCGACCCUGAAGUCUUCUGACGGGUUUGAGGCAGAGCAUGUAUGUUGGGACCCGAAAGAUGGUGAACUAUGCCUGAAUAGGGUGAAGCCAGAGGAAACUCUGGUGGAGGCUCGUAGCGAUUCUGACGUGCAAAUCGAUCGUCAAAUUUGGGUAUAGGGGCGAAAGACUAA